GCGGGGCAGGAGAGCGGCUGGCGGGCUCCUUGUGCACCUGCGGAAGACGCGGGGCUCCCACCGGGGACGGAGUGAAAAAGGCGGAAACGGAACAUGGUCUUACUGCCCGGAAACCCUCUUGCAUCCUUUUCUGUACGGACGAACACAGUUGUACACAGCUCCUUUUUUCAGUAGGGUGGAGUUUCCUGAACACAGAGGCCGAUGUAAAAAACCAGCUGUCUUACUCUAUGAGACAUUUCAUUGUUGCUUUGAAAUGAAUGGACGAAUGAAGUUUGAACCUUUCUGCUCCUGAGUGGAAACUCAGAGACAGAGCGCCUUCAGGAAUAUGGAAAAGCUCCUCGGAGUGAAGUGUGCAUGCAUAGGACCUCCAACUCCUAAUUGUCUGUGACAAGGCUGAUGUAGGGAGGUGCCAUAAUCCUGCUGAUCUCUGGGACCUCAGCUCUGGACCAUCACCAGCUCUAGAGCCAUCACCAUGGACAGGGAGUGAGCGGCUGUGCACGUUACCCCCAGAUCAUAUGACUUGCUGGCUAAUGCCCUUCAGAGGCUGUUAACUGCUUUUGGGAUAGACUCCAAACUCCUGCCAGGACCUAAGAGGUCACAGGAGACCUUGGACCUCCUGCCUCCUUGAUCUCCUUGAUCCCAAUCCACUUCAGUGCCCUAACCACUGAGCUCUUCCUUCCUCAAAGACGCUCAGCUCCCUCCAGCCUGAGGGCUGCUGAUUCUUCUCUUCUCUCUCCUGGAUGUUCACUGGGUCAGGAAGAGGAGGUGAGCUUUGCAGAGUGAUCGAGCCCCUCCCAGAACAGGUAGUUGAAGACUCUACCUGGAGAGGAAGCAUCCUGGUUGUGCCCAGACCCGCGAACACCUGCUCCAGCCAAGGUGGGUUUCCACGUCAACCGUGUGUGCUCAUCAUGGAUUAAUCUGGAGAAAAGGGGAAUCAGAACCGUGAUCUCUACUCUCUGAGUUAGGAAAAAAGAAAACAAAACAAAACUGGGACAGAACAUGGCAUCGAAACCAUGAAAGAAAUUUUGAAAAACUUCUUUUCUUUUAAUUUAAGAAGCUAAUACUAUAUGCUGUCAUUAUAGAGUAUUUGGAAAUAUACAAUUGUGGAAGGAAGAAAAAUUUACCCUGAGAUGAACAGAAGAAAAUCAUGUUUUUGUCUGUGUAAUGUUUCUUUUGCUUAAUAAACAUAUUUGUGUAUACACA